rnacentral:rRNA from 1 species
CCUACGGGUGGCAGCAGUGGGGAAUAUUGCACAAUGGGGGGAACCCUGAUGCAGCAACGCCGCGUGGGUGAAGAAGUACUCCGGUAUGUAAAGCCCUGUCAGCAGGGAAGAAAAUGACGGUACCUGACCAAGAAGCCCCGGCUAACUACGAGCCAGCAGCCGCGGGAAUACGUAGGGGGCAAGCGUUAUCCGGAUUUACUGGGUGUAAAGGGAGCGUAGACGGGAAGGCAAGUCUGGAGUGAAAGCUCGUGGGCCAACCACGGGACGGCUUUGGAAACUGUGUUGCUGGAGUGCAGGAGGGGUAAGCGGAAUUCCUGGUGUAGCGGUGAAAUGCGUAGAUAUUAGGAGGAACACCGGUGGCGAAGGCGGCUUGCUGGACUGUAACUGACGUUGAGGCUCGAAGGCGUGGGGAGCAAACAGGAUUAGAUACCCGGGUAGUC